rnacentral:rRNA from 1 species
AACGAACGCUGGCGGCAGGCUUAACACAUGCAAGUCGAACGCCCCGCAAGGGGAGUGGCAGACGGGUGAGUAACGCGUGGGAAUCUACCCAGAUCUACGGAACAACAGUUGGAAACGACUGCUAAUACCGUAUACGCCCUACGGGGGAAAGAUUUAUCGGAUUUGGAUGAGCCCGCGUAAGAUUAGCUAGUUGGUGGGGUAAUGGCCUACCAAGGCGACGAUCUUUAGCUGGUCUGAGAGGAUGAUCAGCCACACUGGGACUGAGACACGGCCCAGACUCCUACGGGAGGCAGCAGUGGGGAAUAUUGGACAAUGGGCGCAAGCCUGAUCCAGCCAUGCCGCGUGAGUGAUGAAGGCCUUAGGGUUGUAAAGCUCUUUCAGUAGGGAAGAUAAUGACGGUACCUACAGAAGAAGCCCCGGCUAACUCCGUGCCAGCAGCCGCCGUAAUAC